rnacentral:rRNA from 1 species
CCUACGGGUGGCUGCAGUGGGGAAUUUUGGACAAUGGGCGCAAGCCUGAUCCAGCCAUGCCGCGUGCGGGAAGAAGGCCUUCGGGUUGUAAACCGCUUUUGUCAGGGAAGAAACGGUUCGAGCUAAUACCUCGGACUAAUGACGGUACCUGAAGAAUAAGCACCGGCUAACUACGUGCCAGCAGCCGCGGUAAUACGUAGGGUGCGAGCGUUAAUCGGAAUUACUGGGGGUGUUAUGUGCGCAAGAGGUUAAAUCCCCGGGCUCAACCUGGGAACUGCAUUUGUGACUGCAUGACUUGAGUACGGUAGAGGGGGAUGGAAUUCCGCGUGUAGCAGUGAAAUGCGUAGAUAUGCGGAGGAACACCGAUGGCGAAGGCAAUCCCCUGGACCUGUACUGACGCUCAGGCACGAAAGCGUGGGGAGCAAACAGGAUUAGAUACCCCUGUAGUC